rnacentral:rRNA from 1 species
GACGAACGCUGGCGGCGUGCUUAACACAUGCAAGUCGAACGAAGUGGCGAACGGGUGAGUAACGCGUAAUCAACCUGCCCAUCAGAGGGGGACAACAGUUGGAAACGACUGCUAAUACCGCAUACGGAGGGUGGGGAUUGCGUCUGAUUAGCUAGUUGGAGGGGGAACGGCCCACCAAGGCGAUGAUCAGUAGCCGGUCUGAGAGGAUGAACGGCCACAUUGGGACUGAGACAAGGCCCAGACUCCUACGGGAGGCAGCAGUGGGGAAUAUUGGACAAUGGGCGAAAGCCUGAUCCAGCCAUGCCGCGUGUGUGAAGAAGGUCUUCGGAUUGUAAAGCACUUUAGUUUGAGAAGCGUUACCAACAGAAUAAGCACCGGCUAACUUCGUGCCAGCAGCCGCGGUAAUAC